rnacentral:rRNA from 1 species
AGGGGUGAAAUGCCAAUCGAACUUGGAGUUAGCUGGUUAUCUGCGAAAGCUAUAAAGGUAGCGCGUCCAAAGAAGAAAGUAGCGGCGAGUAAGGCAAUAGGAAACUCCGAUAGGAGAGAGAACCCAAGAACACCGAGACAAGAAAAGGAUAGACAGACUUAGAGCGAUAAGGUCCUAGGUCGAGAGGGGAACAACCCAGAACGAAAGUUAAGGUCGUGAAAGAGAGCUAAGUGUGUAAGGCAAGUCGGCCAAAAAAACGUCAAAGAAGUAGGCAUGGAAACAGCCAGCAAAUAGGGAACACGUAAAAGUGCAUUAGAAGACAGGCAAGGCGCCAAGAAUGUAGGCGGCUAAGAGCUCAACCGAAACUAAGAAGAAGGUAGCAGAUCAAUUCGUAAAAAAUCGAAAGAGACGAUGCAAGUAUGAGUAACGAAAAUCGAAGUAAAAGACGAGACCGGAAGUCCAAGGAGUAAGGAAAAAACAGCCCCUAAGUCAAGGAGACCUGAAGAGGAAGGAUGAUGGGAGACGAGAAAAAAGAUCAGGAAAAACCUCGUAAAGAAAACUGUACCAAGCUGACGCAAGUGGACAAGUAGAGAAUACAAAGGUCGAAGAAGAACUAUCCUUAAGGAACUCGGCAAAAUGACUCAGUAAGUUAGACAAGAAUGAGUCCUAAAACAGGAGCAUAGAAUCGGGGAGACCGACUGGUUACCAAAACCAUAGCUUUUAGCCAACACGGAAGUGGAAGUAGUAGAAGCGACCCCUGCCCAAUAAUUGUAACCGAAAGCAGUAGAUGAAAGUCUAAGGUAUAAGAACAAUAGAAUGGCCGCAGUAACACUGACUGUGAAAAUGUAGCGCAAUAAAUAGUCAAUUAAUUGUUGACAGGUAUGAAAGGGGUAACGAGUUUCCCGCUGUCUCAAGGAUAAAUCGAGUGAAAUUGGAGUCGUAGUGAAGAUACUAUGAAAGAUAAAUGCGGGACAAGAAGACCCUAGAAGCUUAACUGUUACUAUAAGUAGAAGCACGGGAGAAGAAGGAGUAGUAAAAAGUGGAGACUCUAAAGAGAAAGAUGAAAAACCAAGACUAAUUGUCAAGUGCGAACUAAGAAAGAUCAAAAGAAGAAGAGCGAAAGCAUAUAGGAGACAGUUUGGUUGGGGUGACAGCCUUUUAAAAAGUAACAAAGGCUUACAAAGGUAUACAAAGAAGUGUAAUAGCAAAAGUAUGCUUGACUGUACGAGAAAGAUAAAUCAAGCAGGGACGAAAGUCGGUUAUAGUGACCAGCUAGAAAAGAAGAUGGAAGAGCUAGCUAUCAGAAGAAAAGUUACUUUAGGGAUAACAGGGUAAUAUUGGCUAAGAGUCCAUAUCGACGCCAAAGUUUGCCACCUCGAUGUUGAAUCAGCGCAUCCUGGGGGUGCACAAGCUCCCAAGGGUUGGACUGUUCGUCCAUAAAAGCGCUACGUGAUUUGAGUUCAGACCGUGGUGACACAGGUCGGCUUAUAUCUGCAUGUAUCAAGAAACGAAAUUCAUGCUUUGAAUAGUACGAGAGGAUUUUCAAGGCUAUCCCUCUGAUGUACCUGCUGUCGAAAGGCACCGCAGGGUAGUUACGGAUAAAAAUAUAAGAGCUGAAGGCAAAUAAAGCACGAAGAUUGAGAAAAAAAGGGUUUCAAAGGAAGGCAAGAGAUAAUUGCGUAGAUAGGCAGUGGGUGUAAAACUAGAAAUAGAAAAGCUGAACUGUACUAAAUUUCCAAAAGGCGAAAGCC